GACGAACGCUGGCGGCGUGCUUAACACAUGCAAGUCGAACGGUGAAGGGGUCUGCUUUUGUGGGCCCUGGAUGAGUGGCGAACGGGUGAGUAACGCGUGAGUAACCUGCCCCCUUCUUCUGGAUAACCGCAUGAAAGUGUGGCUAAUACGGGAUAUUCUGGGUCUGUCGCAUGAUGGGUCUGGGAAAGAUUGCGCCUUUGGGUGUUUUUGGUGGGGGAUGGGCUCGCGGCCUAUCAGCUUGUUGGUGGGGUGAUGGCCUACCAAGGCGGUGACGGGUAGCCGUCCUGAGAGGGUGGACGGUCACACUGGGACUGAGACACGGCCCAGACUCCUACGGGAGGCAGCAGUGGGGAAGAUUGCACAAUGGGCGCAAGCCUGAUGCAGCGACGCCGCGUGAGGGAUGGAGGCCUUCGGGUUGUAAACCUCUUUCGCCAGUGAAGCAGGCCUGCUCCUUGUGGGUGGGUUGACGGUAGCUGGAUAAGAAGCGCCGGCUAACUACGUG
rnacentral:rRNA from 1 species